rnacentral:sRNA from 1 species
UUGGUUGACUAAAGAAUCAAUUGUAGAUCUAACAGAACAAGUACUGCAUAGAAAGAGCAGUGCAAAUUUCCCACACACUGUCCAGCCAAUGUUCCUUAAUUGUGACUAAGGAGGACCACCCCAGAGGAGUAAGAGAGUAGCUGUCUAUUCAAUCCUUGGCAUCU